CGUAAUAGCUCACUGGUCGAGUCGGCCUGCGCGGAAGAUGUAACGGGGCUAAACCAUGCACCGAAGCUGCGGCAGCGACACUAUGUGUUGUUGGGUAGGGGAGCGUUCUGUAAGCCGUUGAAGGUGUCCUGUGAGGGGUGCUGGAGGUAUCAGAAGUGCGAAUGCUGACAUAAGUAACGAUAAUGCGGGUGAAAAACCCGCACGCCGGAAGACCAAGGGUUCCUGUCCAACGUUAAUCGGGGCAGGGUGAGUCGACCCCUAAGGCGAGGCCGAAAGGCGUAGUCGAUGGGAAACAGGUUAAUAUUCCUGUACUUGGUGUUACUGCGAAGGGGGGACGGAGAAGGCUAUGUUAGCCGGGCGACGGUUGUCCCGGUUUAAGCAUGUAGGCGGAGGUUCCAGGUAAAUCCGGUACCUUUUUAACGCUGAGGUGUGAUGACGAGGCACUACGGUGCUGAAGUAACAAAUGCCCUGCUUCCAGGAAAAGCCUCUAAGCAUCAGGUAACAUCAAAUCGUACCCCAAACCGACACAGGUGGUCAGGUAGAGAAUACCAAGGCGCUUGAGAGAACUCGGGUGAAGGAACUAGGCAAAAUGGUGCCGUAACUUCGGGAGAAGGCACGCUGAUAUGUAGGUGA
rnacentral:rRNA from 1 species